rnacentral:rRNA from 1 species
CCUACGGGUGGCAGCAGUGAGGAAUAUUGGUCAAUGGACGCAAGUCUGAACCAGCCAAGUAGCGUGCAGGAUGACGGCCCUCCGGGUUGUAAACUGCUUUUAGUUUGGAAUAAAAGGGGGCUCGUGAGCACCGUAUUGUAUGUACCAUCAGAAAAAGGACCGGCUAAUUCCGUGCCAGCAGCCGCGGUAAUAAGGAGGGUCCGGGCGUUAUCCGGAUUGAUUGGGUUUAAAGGGUGCGCAGGCGGAAGGUCAAGUCGGCGGUAAAAUUUCGGGGCUCAACCCCGGCGUGCCGUGGAAACUGGCGUUCUUGAGUGAGCGAGAAGUAUGCGGAAUGCGUGGUGUAGCGGUGAAAUGCAUAGAUAUCACGCAGAACUCCGAUUGCGAAGGCGGCAUACCGGCGCUUAACUGACGCUCAUGCACGAAAGCGUGGGGAUCGAACAGGAUUAGAUACCCUUGUAGUC